rnacentral:rRNA from 1 species
CCUACGGGCGGCAGCAGUGGGGGAUAUUGCACAAUGGGGGGAACCCUGAUGCAGCGACGCCGCGUGAGCGAUGAAGGACUUCGGUAUGUAAAGCUCUAUCAGUAGGGAAGAACAUGACGGUACCUGACUAAGAAGCUCUGGCCAAAAACGUGCCAGCAGCCGCGGUAAUACGGAGGGGGCAAGCGUUAUCCGGAUUUAAUGGGUGUAAAGGGAGCGUAGACGGCAGUGCAAGUCUGAAGUGAAAGGCAAGGGCUCAACCUUUGGAGUGCAUUGGAAACUGGGCUGCUGGAGUGUCGGAGAGGAAAGUGGAAUGCCUAGUGUAGCGGUGAAAUGCGUAGAUAUUAGGAGGAACACCAGUGGCGAAGGCGGCUUGCUGGACGAUGACUGACGUUGAGGCUCGAAAGCGUGGGGAGCAAACAGGAUUAGAUACCCCAGUAGUC